UGGGGCCAUCACUGCAUAUUUUAAGUAGUUCUCCUAGAGGUUGUGGUUUAUAGCAGAUUUGAAACAAUCAACAGAGGGUGAGAAGUUCAGAGCUGUCAUCGUGGCCUUUGGUGUCUCUUCCCUUGGACCAGCUCUAGGGCAAGAACUAUAGAAAAUAAGAAGUCCUGCCCAAAGACGCCCCCACCUCCCCGGAAGGCUGGGCCAAAUCCUUUGUAGCACUUCAGAAGACUUGCAGGGAACUGUCAGAGCUUAGGGAGAAUCUGAAGUUCCCUUCAUGCCUGCUGCAAGCCUCACCUCAGAGUUCUGGCCACUCUUGUAUAGCUCAGGCAAUGCCAGGAGUGUUUCUGCGGAGACAUCUUUAUCGAGGAUUCCAAAGACGAUGGGAGGCAAGGAGGUGAAGAAAAGAUUGAAGAAUAUCAUCUGCCAAUAGUCAAUCAUGGUGGAGCCGGAGAAACCACAGAAGAACUGGUACCAGAACAGAAGGUUGACGUAGCACUGCAGGCAGGGAGCAUCCUUCGUGAGUGAGAUCCUGCAUGGUGAGACGCUGUUGCUGCUAUCCUAGUUUACUUCUGGCUGAGUAGUACUUAGAGCUCAAUAUGAAGGUUAUCCAACCCAAGUGGAAAGAUACAUACUCAAAUUGCUAGACAGAAAUUCAACAAACACCAACACAGCAUGACUCUUCCAUAAUAACACAAUUCCUCAACUAUGGAAUUCAAAGACACUCAAAUCCAUAAAGAGUUGGAAGAAGGUUUCAAAAACUUUGAAAGAGCAUACAAAAACAGGCAGCUAAAUUCAACUGGAACUCCAGAGAAGGAAGACUCAUCAAGAAAAUUAAGAUUUGAAGGAAAAAGGAAAUACAUCGGAAGUGAAAACGCAAUGAACCUAAUAGAAAACCUGGUAGAUUUCAACGCCCCAUGACUCAACUGAGCAGAGUGAAGAACUGUCAGGGAUGGAGGGCAAGUAUGAUGAAACCCUGCAUUCAGAUAUCAAUAAAGGGAAAAGCAACCGA